GAUCCUGGCUCAGAUUGAACGCUGGCGGCAUGCUUUACACAUGCAAGUCGAACGGCAGCACAGGGAGCUUGCUCCCGGGUGGCGAGUGGCGCACGGGUGAGUAACGCGUGGGUAACCUGCCUCAUACAGGGGGAUAACAGUUAGAAAUGACUGCUAAUACCGCAUAAGACCACAGCACCGCAUGGUGCGGGGGUAAAAACUCCGGUGGUAUGAGAUGGACCCGCGUCUGAUUAG
rnacentral:rRNA from 1 species